rnacentral:rRNA from 1 species
UACGAAGGGGGCUAGCGUUGCUCGGAAUCACUGGGCGUAAAGGGCGCGUAGGCGGCUUUAUAAGUCAGGGGUGAAAUCCCGAGGCUCAACCUCGGAACUGCCUUUGAUACUGGGGAUCUCGAGUCCGGGAGAGGUGAGUGGAACUGCGAGUGUAGAGGUGAAAUUCGUAGAUAUUCGCAAGAACACCAGUGGCGAAGGCGGCUCACUGGCCCGGAACUGACGCUGAGGUGCGAAAGCGUGGGGAGCAAACAGG